UCAACUGGUCUUUUAUACAGUAUAUGUAAAUAGAAAUAUGAAAAAUAGAUUAACAACAAAUCUAAGUGUCACGACCCACUCUGGGGGCCCGUGACCGGCACUAGGGAAUGGGUAGGCUUAAGGCCACCGAAACCCGUAGUAAGCCUUACCAACCCGCAAAUCCAAAUAUAAAAUAGUCAUAAUUGUCUUGCAUAAUACAUCAUCAAACUACCAACAAGAGUCAGAAUAGUUAUACAAAUUUUAAAAUUUCCUACUGCGGAUACUCUAGAGUAAAAAUGACAAGUAUACAAGUACAAGAUAAUUACAAAAGUCCGAAAAAGAAGAAGUCGGACUGUCGAAUGUGCGAAGGCGAAAGUCUUUAACUGUCACCUGAAAAGAAUUACAACUGAGACUGUCAGUCUCGAGAGUGAGUCAAAAUCAAAUAAUCUAAGGGCUUUUGCAACCUUCACAUGAUAUAUUAAUUACUCAAAACAAUAUACCAAUUUCUGAAUAUAAUUGCAGUCAUAAUAUAAAAUCAUACACCAUAAUAAUAAAAUGAUAAAAGGAGAGUGUAAAUAAAUAAAGACAUUUUUACUUUCACGGGACGUGUGGCUAAGUAGAACCCUAACCCCAAAUUCUAACAGCCACUUUGGCUCUCUUAAUCCAAUAAGACUGGCGCCCCGAGAGCAAUGCUCGACCAGGGACCUUACCUCCAGUCUGGUCACUUAAAUAUCCAAAUAAGAAAUCUAGUAGCCAUUCGGCUCUCUUAAUCCAAUAAGACUGGCGCCCCGAGAGCAAUGCUCGACCAGGGACCUUACCUCCAGUCUGGUCACUUAAAUAUCCAAAUAAGCCGGCGCCCCGAGAGCAAUGCUCGACCAGGGACCUUACCUCCGGCAAUUUACACAAAUCAGCCCAGAGAGCCAUGCUCGACCAGGGCAUACCCAUAAAUAUCUUAUUACAUGUCCAUGAUCAUUACCGGUGCGCACGCGGUCCUGAUGUAACCCAUCAGGCGGCAUGUUCUACAAGCCACAUUUCCCAAUUCGCAAUCAUCACAUAUAAGAAAUAUCAUUAUCUGAUGAACUCAACCAACACAUAUCGAAAUAAAGAUUAAAAAUUUAAGGUAAAACAGCGUGCAAUUUGUGAGGGGAAAAAUAAUAACGCUUAUCUUAUUAUAAC
rnacentral:lncRNA from 1 species